UUGUUUUAUCUUUCAGCCCAAGAACUUGCCAGUCAAGAUGAAAAACUUCUUCUAAUGGAAUCCAGCUUGAAAGCUACUCAAGAGCAGCUAAACUGAGCAAAUAACAGAAACAGUUCGCCAAGAACAGAACAGUAGAAAACCCAGGCAGAGCUGAAGACAGUGACAGAAGGGAUUAUUGCUUCUGAAGAAGAAAAAAAUGAUUACAAGUAUUUGGAAGUUUUUGCCAAAAGAGUUACAGCAAAAACCAAACAAGGACCAAGAUCAAGUGAAUUCUCAAAGUGAAGAAACAGACUCUUAAGACUGUUUGCUAUACAUUCAUCCUUCAAAAGAUGUUCCUGAACAAACGUCAUGCCUUACCCACGAGACCUGCUGAAGCAAAGGAGACCCAUGGAAGAAUCGUCUCACAACAGGGCAGGAGACAAUUUAAAAUGAAAUGAGGCAUACCUAGCUUUUGCUUUGUUCAUUUGAAAUCAUAUCACAAAUUACGUUAUGUGGCAAUUAUAUUUUCAUUCAUCACUGUGGAGAGGAUGUAUUUUAGAGUUAGGGGUUGCUUCCAGGCACGAGGGUCCUUGCAAUUCUAUCACAUUUCCUAUUCUCCCAAUAGCGGGAAACAGACUGUGGCUUGGAUCCUGCUAUUAUUUAUCCAUCCUUCUUGCUGGCUGAGUGUUUGCUUGGUUUAGAGUGUACACGUCAUCCCUUCUACACUCUUCUAUGCCAAACUCCUCCUCUGGGCACCAGUUCCCUGCUCUGACAGCUCGGCCCCAGGCGCUCAGCGCGCACUGCUCACCUGGACCAGGAGCUCCUUUAUUGCCCGACACAGUGCUUUGCCUGCCAUGACUCCCUCAACAAAUUACAUCGAUUCCUUCCCCAAAGGAGCAAAUCUAGCCCUAAAUUCUGUCACCUCCACUCUUUCCCUGCUCUGAAAGAAAGGAUAGAAUUUUACAGCUCCUUCAGUGCAGACUAGGGACUGUAACUCAGAAAAAGCAAGAGACCCACCACAUGAGGUCACGCACUCAGACAGUAGCAGCUCAGGAUCAGAAUCUCGCAUCUCUUGGUUAUACUUGAAUAGAAUAAUAAUAAAUCAUAAAACACACAGUGCACACCGGGAAAGGAUAGUCUACAAUUCCCUAUGCAAAUCUACAGCAUUAUAUAUAAGAACCUUCUAACAAGUAGAGACUCAAGUAAAAAUAUAAAGAUAUACACUAUUUCCAUAAUUCAAAGAAAAAGAUUAUUUAAUAUUUUUGAGGAUUACUACUGUAAAUAUAUGUACAAUUAUAGCAAUUUUUGCUUAUUUGUUUUUUUCUAAACAAAAAUUUUAAGUAACAAUAUCUUAAAAUCCAGGAAAUUAAUGUUUAUCAAUUUGUCUCUGAAUAUUUAACUCAGUGUUUAUAUCAUAGACUUCAGACUCACUACCUAAUUUACAUUCUUAAUGCAUGAUUAAACCAUUUUAUAUUGACAAGCUCUGAUCACAGCAAAACACAGAUAGGUUCAGGAAAACAAAAAAAAAAUCAUUCUUUUUUUCCCCUCAGACUGUAAAUAUCUUUGUUUCUAAAAGAAUUUAUUUACAGUGGUACUGUGUACUAUUAAUUGCAUUAUCAUUUUUUUCAUUCUUUAAUCAUAAUAAUAGCAUUGUGAGUAAAAUAAAUAAUUUAUUUGACUGCAAUUCAAAGAAUUUUGUAUGGAUUUAUAUUUUC